rnacentral:pre_miRNA from 7 species
UUGUCAAUCAAACCCACUGUAAGACCCCCUUUCGGGGACCUCCACUCUAGUCUCAUGAGUGAGAGAGCACCCAGAGAAACAUGAGAAUCC